GGUCGAUCUCCCCAGGAGAGGGGAGGCCCCGGAGCCUGACGGCCACUCACCCGAGCGCCGCCGCCGCUGUCGAGACUUCAAAGGAAGUAGAAAGUCAUCUCCCAGCACAAUGAACUCCACUGAUAAAGAAAACUCAUCCGAUCUUAUAGAAAUAGAAGAUACAUCAGAGAUAAUAGAAUCAGCAAAGAUAAAGGAUAUUGCUGAUGCCACACAAAACGUGGUGAAUGACAAGAAAAAUUCAUUUUUUUGCCCGAAAAACAAUUCAUGGAUCUGAAAGACCUCCAGCGGAAAUAUUAUAAGGGCAUUUUGAAGUGGAAACGAAAAUCCCGGCUUCUGUUCAAAGACGUAUCUUUUGUUAUUGAAAAGGCAUUCGUACCAGAAAUGAUCUCACUUGAUUAUAAGCCCAUCAUCGUUUUUAAGCUGGU